rnacentral:rRNA from 1 species
AUUGAACGCUGGCGGCAGGCCUAACACAUGCAAGUCGAACGAGUGGCGGACGGGUGAGUAAUGUCUGGGACACUGCCCGAUGGAGGGGGAUAACUACUGGAAACGGUAGCUAAUACCGCAUACCAUCGGAUGUGCCCAGAUGGGGUUAGCUAGUGGGUGGGGUAACGGCUCACCUAGGCGGAUAACCCUACCUGGUCUGAGAGGGUGCCCAGGCACAAUGGAACGUGGACACGGGCCAGAAUCCUAAGGGAGGCAGCAGGGGGGAAUAUUGCGCAAAGGGGCGAAGCCUGGAGCAGCCAUGGCGCGGUGAGGAAGAAGGCCUUCGGGUUGUAAAGUACUUUCAGCGAGGAGGCGGUACUCGCAGAAGAAGCACCGGCUAACCCCGUGCCAGCCGCCGCGGUAAUUC